rnacentral:sRNA from 1 species
UCCUGGUUACACGGGACCCGUAUGGCAUACACCUCUCUCAGUCUUUGAUGCUGGCUAAUAUUCCGAAAGAACGGAGGCGGGAAAACAAUAGAAAUAACAACAAUAAAACAAGAAUCAGGAUAAAUGGAAAAAUGGAAAAGGGAGAGGUUAACAAUAGAAGUGAAGGAGGACAAGUAAGAGGUAGUUAGCAGUAAGUUAAGUAGCAGGAAAAUUAUCUACCUGCCAUAAAAAAAAUAAAAAAUAAAAUGAGAGAUUCAAAACCAAACUCUUUCACCUUACUCCCUGCCACAUAGUCCUAGGUUUCCUUCUUUUUUGUUUUCGACUCGCCAUCCACACUCCCUAGAACAUUAGAAAGUUUCCAACAAAAGAAACAAAACGAAAUAAAAAUAAAAGAGAUGAAAAAAAGAAUUUUUUUUUUUUUUUUUAAAAAAACAACGCUUAAAGGAAACGAGAAAAAAUUAUAGUAAGUGUAUAUCAAUAAAAUAAUAGAUAAAGCUAACGCUUAACUAAAGGCCUUUUGAAGAAAAAAUAGGUAGAAAACAGUAGAGGAAAUUAAGAGGAAAGCAAAAUGGGUUUAAGACAGAGAAACGUAAUCAUUAGAAUUGAGCGUACAUAAGUAGGUAGUAAACAAGAUAAUUGGAGGGGAAUGGAUAGGAAACUGGAUAGAAUAAAUGGAAUGGAGAUGAAGAAGUAAAUGGCCUCAUAUAAAACGUUUUCCCUUACAGCCAAAAACCGCUAUACAACAAGAGAGACAAAAAUUGGACAAAAUAUAAUUCCACUCGGCUCAAGGUAUUUGUGGUUGGAUCACGGGCAGGAAGGUGUAUGUGAAAUCGUUUCGCGGCUCGGGGUAGUAGGCCGUAGCGAGCUAGUAGUGGGGUAAGGAGGCUGAGAGUUGGGGAGGGAGGGAGAGGGGGGAAAAUGGGUUUGGAGGUGGCCGAUAGAUGGAAGGGUGGAACGGAAAUGUCAUCGUUGAUACCUGGGUAGUAGCUCUGGAGAUGCCAGUGGCUGUGCCAAAUCUUCCUCAGUGAGCAUCGGUGCCGACGGCGCAGGCCGAUCUUCUUCGCUAAUUGAGGGACCGGAUGCAACGUUUCCGGCUGUUGAAUGGCCUCGUUCAAGUUCUGGAGCACUAGCUUGGGCGAGAAGGCGUUGCCUUUCGAGCUCUUGUUUAUCAUCCUGGGGAGUCUUAGGGGAAGGAAAGCCCAUAUCAACAUUGGGUCGAGGGCUAGGCGUUAUGGUAUCUAUUGAUGGGGCCGAGGCUGGAGAGACACAGUCAGGAUAUUGCGAUGCGAAGCGGCUGGUAGGGAUUCUAUAACUAUUGUCGACUUCAAAAAAAGUAGGGGCAGAUGGAGCAAAGGCUGUGGUUGCCGCGGACGGUUCAUUUUCCACACCGUCGUCAUCCGCUGGACUGCUGGGGAGAAGAGUUUCCUCAGCUCUCCGUAGUCGGGUUUUCUCAUCAACCGCUUCUUGGGGAAGCGCAGGAGGGAUGAAUUGAGGAGGAGGAUAUGGUGAGAAGUUAUCUUGUGGAUGACCUUGCCACAAGCUUACUUCGUUGUGGUCGUAACCGUUUUCAUAAGUAUAAUCGUGCUCAUCAUAUCGGUGUGCAUAAGGGUGAUGGUGAUCAAUUUCAGUAACGGUAUCAGGUUGGACAACUUGAGGGGUAAAGGGAUGGGAGUCCACAACGGGGUUCGUUUCCGAUGUUUGCGGGUGGUGGCCUUUGCCGGAAUCCUUCGUACCUAUCACAACUUCGAAAACGCAGGCAACCACACUCUUUUCUCGUCGUACUGUAUCCGUGUCAAGUAUAUUGUUUCCACAAGGAGACAUCGGGUUACGCCCUUUUUCCGACAGAGUUAGUAUUUGGCCAUUUGGGCUAUAGUUAUAGCUGCUUGAGCCCGUCACCAUAUUCAAACGCGGAAUAAAACGGUCUUGGCCCGCUAACUUCCCACGCAAGUCCAUUACCACUUCGAGAU